AGGGGUCUGAAAAUGUCAUUAUACCGUCUCCUGCUGUGCUGGCAACAGAUACCUGAGAAGAGAUGUCGGGUUUUUGCUAUGUUAGACGUUAAGUUUCUUUCAAAGUUUUGGUAAUUAAACUUGCAAUAUAUGAACGAUACCAUAGCAAAAAUAGUCUACUUGAAAAGGUCUUACCCUCCUCACUUAGAUUAUGUGUAUCACAUACCAAAUGUGUCAAUCCUUUUGACCAACUAUCACAAUAAGCCCUUCAAUUUUCUCCCUCUUAUUGGUUAUUGCUGAUAAGGUCUCUAAUCUAAACUUACUCAACCUAAUAGAACUAACUCAACCAUAGAACAAUUAAAUUACAAGUAGAGGAGGUAAAGGAGGAAGUCAGAAUUAAUGCAUUUUGUCACAGAUGGAAGUAAAACUUUGACCUCUUCUUCCCAUGAAGCAGUGGUGCCUAAUGAUGGAACACCGUUCCACAAGAAUGAUAUAAAAGCUGAAUGGUUUUCACAAGUGGUGAUUGAUUCCACAAUUUCAGCUUCCCAGGCAGAUACCCAUCCACAAAGCCAUGGCAAAAAUGGAUAUUCAAAAUGAAGUUAACAGGCAUCAUGAUUUAAUACAUAAUGAAUGACAGAUCCUUUCAUUCACUAAGUCAUGCUGGUCAAGCAAGAUGGUGUUGGGAACAUACAGUAUCCCAGAGUUGUUUACCUUUUGUACACAUUCUGUGUUGGCUUCUAUUCACCCAAGUAGUCAAUAAUCACUUUUGUGUCUUCGGUAAAGCAAAGGAUUCUAUUAUUCUAUCAGCUGCUUGCUUCAUUUGAAUCUAGUUGACACUGUCAACUUAAAUGUUACUGUCAAGUUGACAGUCACAUUUACCAGCUGUUAGAAGUUUAAUGGGUAGCUACUGUUUAGUAUGAGUAAUAUUAAGCUUCAUCUGAUUUAAAUUAAAGAAAUAUUAAGGGUAAAACAACUCUUUGGAAACAAGCAGGAGAAACCUAAUGUUGGAGGAUAAUACAUUUGUUUACUGUUACUAGCUUUGUAAAACAAAUGGUAAAUUGGUUAAAUGAAACAACACGUGACCUAUUACUUUAGAUCAAUUUGUUUUCACAAGUGGAGAUUGAUUCCACAAUCUUCAGCUUCCCAGGCACCCAUCCACAAAGUCGGGAGUCAGAGAACAAUGUGUGGAAUCUGAUAUUCUAGCCCACAAAACUCCAACUGCCCUUCUGCUUUAACAAGGGUACAAAGCUAUUAUAAUUUCAGGAGGCCCAGCAAUCUUUGCUUGCGGUCUUCCAGUGCCGGGAAUUUGUUAUGCUGUUAUGCAUGCAAUUACUCAACGAGGAAUUAGAAAUAAAAAUUAUGCCAUGAAAUAAGAAACGGAGUGCCAUUGUUUAGAGACUUGGCUAAUGGUAUUGCUGACCCAUGGUGAAAGCGUCGAUAAGGUUGCAGAAGGGUUGCAUUGCGUUGCGUCGCAAAAUCUACAUAUUAUUUCCACCAUUGCUGAUACUGAACGCCGUCUUAACGGAGUCCAGUUCGAUCCUGAAGUUGAUUUGACGGAAAACGGACGAAAAAUGUUGCAUAACUUCUUGUUCGACAUCUGUGGAUUGCAAGGAGGUUUCACAAUGGAGAAACGCGAGCAGCAGUAUAUCGAUUACGUCCGGCAUACGGUCGGACGUAAUAAGAUCGACUCGGACCGGACAUUGGACCAUCCGACAGUAGCCCCCCAGGUCGCGAGUUGGGUCUGCCCGCAGAAUUACUAGAACGUCACCCGUUUCCUGGUCCCGGUUUGUCAAUUCGAAUCAUUUACGCCGAAGAACUGUUCAUGGAAGCUGAUUUCGGUGAGACGCGAGUCCUGAUUCGUUUGAUGGUUGAUUAUGCUAACAUGGCAACCAAAGAACAUGUCUUGCUCAAUCGGAUUGAAAUCGCCUCGUCGGAAGAAGGGCGUCUUAUUCUGGAAUAACUGUCCAGUAGCAACCAGUAUGUUGCCACGCUACUGCCUAUUUGCAUUGUUGGUGUUCAGGGAGCUUGCCGAACUUAUAGCUAUUGCGUAGCACUGAGCUCUGAUCAGACACAAACAAACUGGAAUGAUCUAGCCACCUACGCCCGCUUAAUACCGCGUAUGUAUAAUAUACAUGCACACUUGUCGGAAAUAAUCGGUCAAUUAGUUUUUCGUCGAACAAAUUAAGCAUUGUUAAUGUGCCGCUAGAUGUCGCCCAAAAACAAGCGGAAGCGAGGCGUUAUGCCAUUUCCUGAAACUGAACAUUUAGAAAAUGGGGUAUAUGUUCGCAAAUUGCUACGAUCUAUUCAGAGUGGUACCAUAAAGUAUGACUAUAGGAAAGGGUACGUAGGCUUCUAAAAGUGAAGAACAGCUCUGACGUCUUUGGUAAGCGGAAAAUUUAUUGCAUAUUGAAGCGUCAGAUGGCGGUUUUAAGAAUGUACUCUUUCGUUUGCUUUGCCCAAUGAAUCUGUGCUUGGAACUGGCAGGUGGCGUUUAGCAGUGGCACUCAAUCUUUAUUCUUGAAACCCAGAGGUGUUCUUCACUUUCCAAGGGGACAGAGGGGGACUUUUCAAAACCAUGAAGAAUAUCAAAUGAAAUUGUACUUUUAACUUUUAAAACACCGCAUAACUUUUAUUAACAACAGUUUACUUUUACAACUAUCAAAAUCUUGUUAACCAUUUGAAGGAGAACAAAGCUAAUUUUUUAGAUUAUUGGAAUUUCAACUUCCGGUUUUACUUCCGCUUUUAAAAUACCAAAUAACUCUUCAUUUGUUAGUCUGUCAGAAAAAAUAUUCACAUUUCCGUGAUCCUCGUCAAAUUUGGGGUCGACUCCAUGUAUCAGCUCAAAAUACCCGAAAAUCGUCAAAAAUCGCAAAUUUUCCUGAGUUCAUGAAAAAUCGCGAUUUUGGUCAAAUCCGACUUUUUGCUAAAACCACGUCAUUCCAACCCCAAAUUUGAUAAGGAUCACGAAAAUCCUACUCGUUUUGUUAUAGGAUUACUAUUUUCGGAAA